UGCGUAGGCGGCUUCUUAAGUCAGGGUGAAAUAUGUCGGCUCAACCGGCAAACGGCCCCUGAAACUGAGAGGCUUGAGUCCGGGAGAGGAAGGUGGAAUUCCUGGUGUAGCGGUGAAAUGCGUAAAUAUCAGGAGGAACACCGGUGGCGAAGGCGGCCUUCUGGCCCGGUACUGACGCUGAGGCACGAAAGCCAGGGGAGCGAACG
rnacentral:rRNA from 1 species